rnacentral:rRNA from 1 species
UGCAAACUGCGAAUACCGGAGAAUGUUAUCACGGGAGACACACGGCGGGUGCUAACGUCCGUCGUGAAGAGGGAAACAACCCAGACCGCCAGCUAAGGUCCCAAAGUCAUGGUUAAGUGGGAAACGAUGUGGGAAGGCCCAGACAGCCAGGAUGUUGGCUUAGAAGCAGCCAUCAUUUAAAGAAAGCGUAAUAGCUCACUGGUCGAGUCGGCCUGCGCGGAAGAUGUAACGGGGCUAAACCAUGCACCGAAGCUGCGGCAGCGACACUAUGUGUUGUUGGGUAGGGGAGCGUUCUGUAAGCCUGUGAAGGUGGCCUGUGAGGGUUGCUGGAGGUAUCAGAAGUGCGAAUGCUGACAUAAGUAACGAUAAAGCGGGUGAAAAGCCCGCUCGCCGGAAGACCAAGGGUUCCUGUCCAACGUUAAUCGGGGCAGGGUGAGUCGACCCCUAAGGCGAGGCCGAAAGGCGUAGUCGAUGGGAAACAGGUUAAUAUUCCUGUACUUGGUGUUACUGCGAAGGGGGGACGGAGAAGGCUAUGUUGGCCGGGCGACGGUUGUCCCGGUUUAAGCGUGUAGGCUGGUUUUCCAGGCAAAUCC